rnacentral:misc_RNA from 1 species
GGGUUUUGAAACAUUCCUAGAUAGACUAAAGCUCUGUUGCUUGGAUGUUGGGCUAACAAUUCAGGGAAACAAAGUUGAAGAAUUGCCAGAGCAGGUUUUAUGUUGUGUACGGUUAAAUGAAAUUGACUAUGCGAAUUAUCAGCAACUGGGGUUGGAAUAGAGAGCCCUUUGAAUUAGCUACUGCACAGACAUUGCAAAUAAAGAAGUAACUUAGAGAAGUUCAGUUGUCCCUCGCUUUUGGUUCCUAUCUCUGUCUGUCUCAUUUUAUCCCCGACUAUCAAAAUCUUCAAUGUCAGGAAGAUUACGAGUGUAGCAGGUUCAAUGGGAACUGUUAAGGAUGAUUCUCACAUUCAGAUUACCAUACAGAACCUCCUUGAACUUGCCUGUUUGGGGCCAACUCGUAUGCCACCUAGCGUUUUAUGACAUGAGUUCUGGACAAAUCAAUAGCUUACAUAAGCUAUAUAUGUGUAUGAAAUCAUGGACAACAUUGAGAUAC